rnacentral:rRNA from 1 species
ACUCAAAGGAAUAGACGGGGACCCGCACAAGCAGCGGAGCAUGUGGUUUAAUUCGAAGCAACGCGAAGAACCUUACCUAGACUUGACAUCUCCUGAAUUACUCGUAAUGGAGGAAGCCCUUCGGGGCAGGAAGACAGGUGGUGCAUGGUUGUCGUCAGCUCGUGUCGUGAGAUGUUGGGUUAAGUCCCGCAACGAGCGCAACCCUUAUCGUUAGUUGCUACCAUUAAGUUGAGCACUCUAACGAGACUGCCGCGGUUAACGUGGAGGAAGGUGGGGAUGACGUCAAAUCAUCAUGCCCCUUAUGUCUAGGGCUACACACGUGCUACAAUGGCCGGUACAACGAGAUGCAAACCCGUGAGGGGGAGCCAAACUUCAAAGCCGGUCCCAGUUCGGAUUGUAGGCUGAAACUCGCCUACAUGAAGUCGGAGUUGCUAGUAAUCGCGAAUCAGCAUGUCGCGGUGAAUACGUUCCCGGGUCUUGCACACACCGCCCGU